ACGGAAGGCAGCAGUCGGGAAUAUUGCGCAAUGGAGGAAACUCUGACGCAGUGACGCCGCGUGCAGGAAGAAGGUUUUCGGAUUGUAAACUGCUUUAGACAGGGAAGAAACAAGACAGUACCUGUAGAAUAAGCUCCGGCUAACUACGUGCCAGCAGCCGCGGUAAUACGUAGGGAGCAAGCGUUAUCCGGAUUUAUUGGGUGUAAAGGGUGCGUAGACGGGAAAUUAAGUUAGUUGUGAAAUCCCUCGGCUCAACUGAGGAACUGCAACUAAAACUGGUUUUCUUGAGUGCAGGAGAGGAAAGUGGAAUUCCUAGUGUAGCGGUGAAAUGCGUAGAUAUUAGGAGGAACACCAGUGGCGAAGGCGACUUUCUGGACUGUAACUGACGUUGAGGCACGAAAGUGUGGGGAGCAAACAGGAUUAGAUACCCUGGUA
rnacentral:rRNA from 1 species